GAGAGGAACCGUUGAUACCGGCCACCGGUUUAGGCAGUCGUCCAUUAAAGGAAAUAUAAUCUCCAUAAUUUUGAUUAUGAAGCGACCUCCUGAGGAUGGUAGAAGCACAUGGGUCGAGGCCCGAGUGAGGCACAGCGCCAUCUGGUUCAUGAGUGGGAACAAUGGAGGUUGGGAGAUGGUCGUGUUGGUCGUCGAUUAAGUGCCGUAGAUGUGCUUGUUGUGAGCUCGGGAGAGCAAUGGACCACGUGUUUACG
rnacentral:misc_RNA from 1 species